rnacentral:rRNA from 1 species
GAUGAACGCUGGCGGCGUGCCUAAUACAUGCAAGUCGAGCGAACAGACGAGGAGCUUGCUCCUCUGACGUUAGCGGCGGACGGGUGAGUAACACGUGGAUAACCUACCUAUAAGACUGGGAUAACUUCGGGAAACCGGAGCUAAUACCGGAUAAUAUAUUGAACCGCAGGGUUCAAUAGUGAAAGACGGUUUUGCUGUCACUUAUAGAUGGAUCCGCGCCGCAUUAGCUAGUUGGUAAGGUAACGGCUUACCAAGGCAACGAUGCGUAGCCGACCUGAGAGGGUGAUCGGCCACCCUGGAACUGGGACACGGUCCAGACUCCUACGGGAGGCAGCAGUAGGGAAUCUUCCGCAAUGGGCGAAAGCCUGACGGAGCAACGCCGCGUGAGUGAUGAAGGUCUUCGGAUCGUAAAACUCUGUUAUUAGGGAAGAACAAAUGUGUAAGUAACUAUGCACGUCUUGACGGUACCUAAUCAGAAAGCCACGGCUAACUACGUG